rnacentral:precursor_RNA from 1 species
GUCUACUUCUCUCUUUGAUUUUUUUUUACUCUCCCUUAAUCAGUCUCUAUGUUUCAUGAUAUUCCCUUUUUUCUAUUUUCCAGUUUCUCCUUGGACAAUUUUCCGUUAGAUUUUCCUUUUCUCUGCGUAUGGCUUAUAUUGAACCGUAAUAAGUACCUUUUUUUUUAUGAGAGUGAACAGUAUGCUACAUAUAGCUUCUAUAUAUAUGUUACUUUGUUUUAGGAGCUAUAGUUGCAUGGACAGAUAGACUAACAGUCGUUAUUUGCGGAUGUAGCAUCAUCAAGAUUCACAUGCAAGCGCAGGUGGUGGGUGGGACUUGAUGC